GUUACAUCAGAUUCCCCGGUGUAACGAAUUUUCAAGUGCUUCUUGCGAGAGCAAGCUUUAUCCCGGUCACCCCAUGACCGGGAUUU
rfam:Kluyvera intestini strain GT-16 tig00000000, whole genome shotgun sequence.